rnacentral:rRNA from 1 species
UACGUAGGUGGCAAGCGUUGUCCGGAAUUAUUGGGCGUAAAGCGCACGUAGGCGGGUCUUUAAGUCAGGGGUGAAAUCCUGGAGCUCAACUCCAGAACUGCCUUUGAUACUGAAGAUCUUGAGUUCGGGAGAGGUGAGUGGAACUGCGAGUGUAGAGGUGAAAUUCGUAGAUAUUCGCAAGAACACCAGUGGCGAAGGCGGCUCACUGGCCCGUAGUACUGACG